rnacentral:rRNA from 1 species
UACGUAGGUUCCGAGCGUUAUCCGGAUUUACUGGGCGUAAAGCGCGUUCAGGCGGUUUGGCAAGUCGGGCAUGAAAUCUCUCGGCUCAACCGGGAGAGGUUGUCCGAUACUUCCAGACUUGAGGGCAGUAGAGGGUGGUGGAAUUCCGGGUGUAGUGGUGAAAUGCGUAGAUAUCCGGAGGAACACCAGUGGCGAAAGCGGCCACCUGGACUGCACCUGACGCUGACACGCGAAAGCUAGGGGAGCGAACGGG